CAAGCGAAUAAGCGCACACGGUGGAUGCCUAGGCGGUCAGAGGCGAUGAAGGACGUGGUAGCCUGCGAAAAGUGUCGGGGAGCUGGCAACAAGCUUUGAUCCGGCAAUAUCCGAAUGGGGAAACCCACUGCUUCGGCAGUAUCCUGCAGUGAAUUCAUAGCUGCUGGAAGCGAACCCGGUGAACUGAAAUAUCUAAGUAACCGGAGGAAAAGAAAUCAACCGAGAUUCCCUAAGUAGUGACGAGCGAACGGGGAGCAGCCCUUAAGCUGGAAUGGCUUUAGAAAAACAAUCUGGAAAGAUUGGCCAUAGAAGGUGAUAGCCCUGUAUUUAAAAGGGCCACUCCAGUGAAGACGAGUAGGGCGGGGCACGUGAAACCCUGUCUGAAUAUGGGGGGACCAUCCUCCAAGGCUAAAUACUCUACCACCAAUU
rnacentral:rRNA from 1 species